GUUUAUUUUACCUUGUUGCUUCGGCGGGCCCGCCUUAACUGGCCGCCGGGGGGCUCACGCCCCCGGGCCCGCGCCCGCCGAAGACACCCUCGAACUCUGUCUGAAGAUUGUAGUCUGAGUGAAAAUAUAAAUUAUUUAAAACUUUCAACAACGGAUCUCUUGGUUCCGGCAUCGAUGAAGAACGCAGCGAAAUGCGAUACGUAAUGUGAAUUGCAAAUUCAGUGAAUCAUCGAGUCUUUGAACGCACAUUGCGCCCCCUGGUAUUCCGGGGGGCAUGCCUGUCCGAGCGUCAUUGCUGCCCUCAAGCACGGCUUGUGUGUUGGGCCCCGUCCUCCGAUCCCGGGGGACGGGCCCGAAAGGCAGCGGCGGCACCGCGUCCGGUCCUCGAGCGUAUGGGGCUUUGUCACCCGCUCUGUAGGCCCGGCCGGCGCUUGCCGAUCAACCCAAAUUUUUUAUCCAGGUUGACCUCGGAUCAGGUAGGGAUACCCGCUGAACUUAAGCAUAUCAA
rnacentral:rRNA from 1 species